rnacentral:rRNA from 1 species
UGGCUCAGGAUGAACGCUAGCGGCAGGCUUAACACAUGCAAGUCGAGGGGUAUAGUUCUUCGGAAUUAGAGACCGGCGCACGGGUGCGUAACGCGUAUGCAAUCUACCUUUCACAGAGGAUAGCCCAGAGAAAUUUGGAUUAAUACCUCAUAGUAUAGCAGUUUCGCAUGAAACCACUAUUAAAGUCACAACGGUGAAAGAUGAGCAUGCGUCCCAUUAGCUAGUUGGUAAGGUAACGGCUUACCAAGGCAACGAUGGGUAGGGGUCCUGAGAGGGAGAUCCCCCACACUGGUACUGAGACACGGACCAGACUCCUACGGGAGGCAGCAGUGAGGAAUAUUGGACAAUGGGCGCAAGCCUGAUCCAGCCAUGCCGCGUGCAGGAUGACGGUCCUAUGGAUUGUAAACUGCUUUUUAUACAGGAAGAAACACUACUUCGUGAAGUAGCUUGACGGUACUGUAAGAAUAAGGAUCGGCUAACUCCGUG